rnacentral:rRNA from 1 species
AUUGAACGCUGGCGGCAGGCCUAACACAUGCAAGUCGAACGCGUGGCGGACGGGUGAGUAAUGUCUGGGAAACCGCCUGAUGGAGGGGGAUAACUACUGGAAACGGUAGCUAAUACCGCAUACCAUCAGAUGUGCCCAGAUGGGAUUAGCUUGUUGGUGGGGUAACGGCUCACCAAGGCGACGAUCCCUAGCUGGUCUUAGAGGAUGACCGGCCACACUGAAACUGAGGAACGGUCCAGAGCCCUACGGAAGGCAGCAGUGGGGAGUAUUGCACAGUAGGCGCAAGCCUGAUGAAGCCAUGCCGCGUGUAUGAAGAAGGCCUUAGGGUUGUAAAGUACUUUCAGCGGGGAGGCGUUACCCGAAGAAGAAGCACCGGCUAACUCCGUGCCAGCAGCCGCGGUAAUAC